GUUUUUGUAGUUGAUUUACAACGGUGGUUUUUCAGGCCGCAGGUCUCUGUUAGAGCAAGAACC
rnacentral:tRNA from 1 species